rnacentral:lncRNA from 1 species
AUAAGGUUGAUGCUAGCCCCUAAAUCAAUAAGAGAUUUCCCUAUAUCAUGGUUUCCAAUGGUGCAUGGAAUGGUGAAACUCCCCGAAUCUUUAAAUUUUGGAGGGAGAGUCUUCUGCAUGAUGGCACUGCAAUUUCCUUGCACUUCAAUUGUUUCCUCAUCUAAAUACUUUUUCUUCUUGUUGAGGAUUUGCUUCAUGUACUUUGCAUAAGCAGGAAUUUGAUGUAGUGCUUCAGUCAAGGGCAUGGUGAUCUCAAGUUGGUUGAAUGUUUGCUUGAACCAAGCCAAUUGUUUCUCCUGUUCUCUAUUGGAAGGAUUUUUCGGGUAAGGAAGAUGUUUCACAAUUUCUUUCUUUUUUUGCUUUUUCUCUUUUUCUUUUCCUUUAUUUCCUUCUUCUCCUUCAACAAUCUCCUCUUCUAUUUCUUUUUCUUCUUGAUUCUCCUCUUCAUUCUUUUUCUUCUCUUCUUCUUUUGGCUUUUCUUUUUCUCCUUCUUUCCUCCCAACCUCUUUUCCACUUCUAGUGAAUAUGACAUUGCACUCUUCCUUAGGGUUGGCUUGGGUAUUUGCAGAGAAUUGUC